AAUGUUCAAGCCUAAUUAAGUAAGGUAAACGACUUGUCCAGAGAGAAGGAUCCCGUUCUGCCUGUCCAUGCAGGGCAUCAAAGGGGCGUGCGUGUGCAGUUGUCUUCAGGAGGCUGAGACUGCAAUGUAGGAGGCUUCUGUAUUCCUGUAACUGCUAUGAGAUCACAUGGCUGGGAGUGUGCUCAGAACCUGCUGCGACUGUGGCUGCUGCACCCAAUCUGUGAAUCAGCUGACUUUCGUUUUGCUGUGCUAUAUUUAAUUGGUCUAAGGAGGAAUAGCCAGCAAGCAGUAGGAAGUCACCAGCAGUAGCUGUGUCCAGUUAGCCCAUGUGCAGACACGAGAAUUUGAGUACCCAUUUCUCCUUGUUACAAGAGCAUAGAGAGCUGCUUCCCAAAUCAAGGAACGCUAUCAUCUGCCACUACCUAGAGAAAGGCCUUCCAAAUCUCCAGUCUAGGAACUGAGUAACCUGGCGAUAAUGUCAUGCCUCACCUCUGACAAAACGACUGAUGAGAAAAGGAGUGAAGAAUUUGGGCCUUAUUCCUUGAUGCUCAAAGGCAUCAAGUUAUUCCACCCCAGGCUGAGGACUCUGACCUAAGAGAACAGCCACGGCCCAGGCAGUGUUUGGUGACAUAAAACACAGGGUAGUCGCCUAGCAUCCUGGAGUCUUGUCUUGUCUACAGAAACUUUGGUUCCUCGGUGCACACCCUGACUCACUGUAUAUGCUCAGGAGGAUGUCAUUUGGGACCCACCUUGCCCAUAGCACCCAGUGCAAGUCUGACUCCUGGGAGAAAGACUCCGUGUUCCCGUGCGUGUGACUCAGGUGAUCACCUCAUGGGCACAACCAGGGCCUCAGUCAACAGCCCUUGUAAAAGCAGCCUUUUAUCUACCUGGCUUCAGAGUUGCUGGGGCGGGACAUGCAAGAGAAACCUGAUCACAACGUUUUUUUUAACGCCUCAGCAAAAGUGAUGCAUGAACACCGGGCUCUAUUUGAACAGCCUCCUAAAUAGAAUCAACUGUUUCCUCCAAGAGAGAACUUGCAUAUGCUGUGAGAAAGAAACAUGCGCAUUCCUGCUUGGUGGAAACAGAGGUUAGAAAGGGAAGGAGCUCAGAGCAACCCAGGAACCCUGUUGUCAGCACCGGGUAUCAUUUCUUCUCCACCUGGGCACUUGCCCACAUUCCUCUCCCACUGCCCUGUGUUCCCUGCUCUGACAACCAUCUCCUGCAACAGCCAAGGUGAUAGCUGAGUACACGGGGUGCAAACUUGGAAUUAGGGAGGUGAAGCAAGAGGAUUACCACGAGUUUGAGGUCAGCCUGGGUCAGGGAAUUCAAGCCUGCCUGAGCUAAGGGGAUAACUCACCUUUAAAAAAAAAAUCAAACUCUGAGGCUAGGGUGUAUCUCAGUGACAGUCAGUGUGCUUAGUAAGGGUCUCGAUUAAAUCCCUUGACAUCAAAGAGUAAAAAGGAAAAGAAGAGAGGAAGGAGAGGACAGGAGAGAGAGGGAAUGGGAAAGGCUGAGUGUGGAGGUGCAUGGGUGUGUGAUGGUGCACACUCCUGGUGGUGCACACUCAUGGUGGUGCACACUCAUGAUGGUGCACACUCAUGGUGGUGCACACUCCUGGUGGUGCACACUCAUGGUGGUGCACAUGCGUGGUUCCCAAAGAGAAAGAAAAUGGCCUGGUCUCAACCAACGAAAAUAAGCAGUAAUCAAGGUGAAAGAUAACAAAGGCAGCCAAAGAAAGGAUGUUCUAGUUAUUCGAGAAUACUUUGCUGGGAACUUGGGGACCUUGGAAGCGAAAACUAGAAAACAGGUUCACUGCAAGCAUUUUUAUAAACAUCGGGAUUUUGAGUAUCCCUACAUGGAACGUGCUGAUGGAAAUAACAGAGACAAACUCAAGACCGUUCUGCUAAGCAAUGUAAUAUUGCUAAGGGCUUGUUUAUUCUCUCAAAAGUGUAUUCAUCAUGACUUUACAAAAGUGCACGAUUCUGUCUUCUACUUGCCCACAUUUUUAUAUAUAUAUUCCCAUCAAGCCUUCUAAGUGACAUAAAAUGGGGCCAUUGUUAAAAAAAAAAAACUCUAAAAACC
rnacentral:lncRNA from 1 species